CCUACGGGGGACAGCAGUGGGGAAUAUUGGUCAAUGGACGAGAGUCUGAACCAGCCAAGUAGCGUGAAGGAUGACUGCCCUAUGGGUUGUAAACUUCUUUUAUAUGGGAAUAAAACGUUCCACGUGUGGGAUUUUGUAUGUACCAUAUGAAUAAGGAUCGGCUAACUCCGUGCCAGCAGCAGCGGUAAUACGGAGGAUCCGAGCGUUAUCCGGCUUUAUUGGGUUUAAAGGGAGCGUAGGUGGAUUGUUAAGUCAGUUGUGAAAGUUUGCGGCUCAACCGUAAAAUUGCAGUUGAAACUGGCAGUCUUGAGUACAGUAGAGGUGGGCGGAAUUCGUGGUGUAGCGGUGAAAUGCUUAGAUAUCACGAAGAACUCCGAUUGCGAAGGCAGUUCACUGGACUGCAACUGACACUGAGGCUCGAAAGUGUGGGUAUCAAACAGGAUUAGAUACCCCUGUAGUC
rnacentral:rRNA from 1 species